ensembl:snoRNA
UGCAGCCUUGUCAAAUUCGAUCCCUGCCUCCUCCGUGGUGGGGACCGGCCAGCCGGCUGCCACAGCAACUUCUGUGGUCAAUGAGCCCCAUGUUCCCUUCCCAUGGGACACUGGGCACAAAAUCACACCACAGACACUG